rnacentral:rRNA from 1 species
GACAGAGGGUGCAAACGUUGCUCGGAAUUACUGGGCGUAAAGGGCGCGUAGGCGGAUGACUAAGUCGGGGGUGAAAGCCCGGGGCUCAACCUCGGAACUGCCUUCGAUACUGGUCAUCUUGAGUACGGGAGAGGUGUGUGGAACUCCGAGUGUAGAGGUGAAAUUCGUAGAUAUUCGGAAGAACACCAGUGGCGAAGGCGACACACUGGCCCGUUACUGACGCUGAGGCGCGAAAGCGUGGGGAGCAAACAGG